rnacentral:rRNA from 1 species
AAUCAACGCUGGCGGCGUGCCUAACACAUGCAAGUCGAGCGCGAAAGCGGGUAACUCGCAAGUAGAGUGGCGAACGGGUGAGUAACGCGUGGGUGAUCUACCUCCGAGUGGGGAAGUAAACACCGGGAAACUGGUGCUAAUACCGCAUGACAUCCUCGGAUCACACUGGGGAUCAAAGCCGGGGACCGCAAGGCCUGGCGCUUGGAGAGGAG